rnacentral:rRNA from 1 species
GAUGAACGCUAGCGGCGGGCUUAAUACAUGCAAGUCAAGGGGUAGCAAUACACCGGCGUACGGGUGCGUAACGCGUAUGGAACCUGCCCUUAUCUGGGGGAUAACUCGGGGAAACUCGAGCUAAUACCGCAUAAGAUAGUAGAAUGGCAUCAUUCAGCUAUUAAAGAUUUAUAGGAUAAGGAUGGCCAGGCGUAAGAUUAGAUAGUUGGUGGGGUAACGGCUCACCAAGUCUACGAUCUUUAGGGGCUCUGAGAGGAGAAUCCCCCACACUGGCACAGAGAUACGGGCCAGACUCCUACGGGAGGCAGCAGUAGGGAAUAUUGGGCAAUGGGCGGAAGCCUGACCCAGCCACGCCGCGUGCAGGAAGAAGGCCCUCUGGGUUGUAAACUGCUUUUGAUUGGGAAGAAAGCAUCUCAUGCGUGGGAUUUUGACGGUACCAAUCGAAUAAGCCACGGCUAACUACGUGCCAGCAGCCGCCGCGGUAA